rnacentral:rRNA from 1 species
ACGGAAGGCAGCAGUGGGGAAUAUUGGACAAUGGGGGAAACCCUGAUCCAGCGACGCCGCGUGAGUGAAGAAGUAUUUCGGUAUGUAAAGCUCUAUCAGCAAGGAAGAAAAUGACGGUACUUGACUAAGAAGCUCCGGCUAACUCCGUGCCAGCAGCCGCGGUAAUACGGAGGAUGCAGGCGUUAUCCGGAUUUAUUAGGUUUAAAGGGUGCGCAGGCGGGACACUAAGUCGGCGGUGAAAUCUCAUGGCCCAACCAUGAAACUGCCAUCGAUACUGGUGACCUUGAGUACGAAUGAGGAAGGCGGAAUGAGUCGUGUAGCGGUGAAAUGCUUAGAUAUGACUCAGAACACCAAUUGCGAAGGCAGCUUUCCAAAACGCAACUGACGCUCAUGCACGAAAGCGUGGGUAGCGAACAGGAUUAGAUACCCUGGUA